CAUUUUGUAUAUUUCUUAUUACAGUGUGAAAAAAUUACAAAUUAAGGAGUAAAAUUCUGAAUAUAAAAAAAGAGAAAAAAGAAAAAGAUACCCUUUUUUCCACUGAUGAAAUGGACACAUUUGCUUACGAUUAACCCAAUGCUGAUGUGGCAAGAUCAGUGUGGACGCCUCCAUUGUCCCACUUUUAAACGAGAUUCAUAUCUUUUUUUAACUCUAACAUGACCCUACUACCACAAACGGAGAUCAACCACAUCACCACCGUUUAUUUGCAAUACCUUUUCGAAGCUUCAUCAAUGGCGGACCUCAACCUCUCCAACUAUCUCUGGUUCCUCCUCUUACUAUUCCCUCUCACCUUCCUCCUCCUCCUCCUCUACUUCAUAGUCCGACCCCGACCAGUCAGGAUCCCAAUCAAGAAUCGCCACGUGUUCAUCACCGGCGGAUCAAGCGGCAUCGGCCUUGCCUUGGCCCACCGGGCUGCAUCCGAGGGCGCACGCGUCUCCAUCCUCGCCCGCUCCGUCGACAAGCUCGAGGAAGCCAAACAUGCAAUACGACUCGCCACCGGGAUUGACGUCUCCGUGUUCGCCGCCGAUGUGCGAGACUGCGACGCCGUUUGGAAGUCGGUCGAGGAGGCUGGACCCAUCGACGUGUUGAUCGUGAAUCAAGGGGUUUUUGUACCUCAAGAGCUGGAGAAGCAGGGAUUAGAUGAGGUGAGGUUCAUGUUGGACGUGAAUCUGAUGGGCAGCUUCAACGUGAUCAAAGCUGCUUUGCCUGGGAUGAAGAAAAGAGGGAAUCGUGAACCGGCCUCUAUUGCCCUAAUGUCCUCUCAAGCUGGUCAGGUGGGGAUUUACGGUUACACUGCUUACUCAGCGAGCAAAUUUGGGCUUCGGGGUUUAGCAGAAGCUUUGCAACAAGAGGUUAUUGCAGACAAUAUUCAUGUUUCUCUGAUUUUCCCUCCCGAUACAGACACUCCUGGUUUUGAGCAAGAGAACAAGGUACGACCGCCGCUUACCAGCAUAUUAGCUGAAUCUUCUGGGGCAAUGAAACCUGAUGAAGUUGCUAAGAAAGCUUUUAAUGGCAUAAGAUCUGGCAGCUUUAUUGUUCCUUGUAAUUCUGAGGGUCACUUACUGGCUAUAGUAACUGCUGGUUUUUCACCACAGAGAUCAUUUCUAAUGGCUUUCGUUGAGGUAGUUGCAGCUGGGUUAUUGAGGGUUGCGGCUCUAUGUUUCCAGUGGAAUUGGUAUGGAAGCAUAGAGAAGUGGCAUUCACAGAAUAAAUAAAGAGCUCUAGGAUUUUACAUUUCAACAACGGUUUGGACUAGAUGCAUAAGGGACCUGAGGUUGUUGGGUGCUUGAUUUCUUCCCAAUUUUACUCACUUUUGACAUUUGAGUUGCUGCAGUUGCUAGAAAGCAGAUGUGGUGCUGUAAAUGGGUGAUUAGCAUCGGUGUUUCGGGAACCGAACCAUCAUUGAUGUAGGUUUAAGUUGCCCUCUCUCAGGAAGUUAGUAUUUUGAUGGUCCACUGUAAUAAAUUAUUUUACUGUUUAAGAAAUUAUUUGUAAUGGGAAUCUCUAAAGCAAUUUCUGACGUGAAAUUUUCAAAUUUUUACCCUGUAGCAUAAUGAACUCGAAAGUAUGGCUUCACUUGAUUUAUGUGAUUAAAAAACAUUUAUGAAUGAAAAGAAACUGAGUUGUUAGA